UGGCCUACGGGGGGCAGCAGUGGGGAAUAUUGGGCAAUGGGCGCAAGCCUGACCCAGCAACGCCGCGUGAAGGAAGAAGGCUUUCGGGUUGUAAACUUCUAUCAACAGGGACGAAAGAAAUGACGGUACCUGAAUAAGAAGCCCCGGCUAACUACGUGCCAGCAGCCGCGGUAAUACGUAGGGGGCAAGCGUUAUCCGGAAUUACUGGGUGUAAAGGGUGAGUAGGCGGCAUGGUAAGCCAGAUGUGAAAGCCUUGGGCUUAACCCAAGGAUUGCAUUUGGAACUAUCAAGCUAGAGUACAGGAG
rnacentral:rRNA from 1 species